rnacentral:misc_RNA from 1 species
AUUUGUUCCAGAAAUUCAACAGAAUCAUGCAAGCAGCUCAAAAGAAAAAAUCUCCACAAGAAACUGUGUUGUUGAGGCAUCCACGACCCAAGUAUGAUUUCCAAGGGAAAAAACUUGCCAAGAAAACAAAUAAACAAAUAACUUCAAAACCAGAACCAGAUCAGAUCACCUCCCAAGCACCUCCCACACAGACAAUAGUAGCCAAGCCAAGGGAGUUAUCUGACAACCAACAGCAAGUGCAACAUUUUGCUGAGCAUGACUUUAAAACUAAGAGUGCUGGUAUUGUCAGGCCAGUACCUGCAGUGAGUGCACCUGCUGUACAGACCACAGUCCAGACUAUUCAACUUCCACAAAAACCAAUACAGGUGAUAGCCCCUGUGACGGGCGGUACUCCACUGUCAAGGGAGAGCCGUUUCACUGUGCCAAGCCCCUCCUCCACAAUUCUCCAACUUGAACAAGAGUUAGGAGUGGUCAGGCCCAGCAAGGAUGAAUACGAUCGACUGAAGCAGGAAAACGAGCAGCUAAAACAGGAUCUAGAUGUUCAGCACAAGGUGAAUACAGAGCUGAAGAAGCUGCUGAUUGCUUCUGUUGGAGAGGAUCUGGAGAGGCGUGUUGAGAGACUGGCUCGAGACAAGGCCGAGUUGUCGAUGGAGGUCGGGGGCUACACCAGGAAGGUGACGGAGGACUACGAGAACCUGGACAAGGUGUCCAUCCAGGCCGAUAUGUGGCGCACCAAGUUCCUUGCUAGCAGAGUGAUGAUUGACGAGCUGGCCAGUGCCCGAGCCUUCUACUCGCUUCAAUACCAGGAGUCCCAGGAUGCACUGCAACAGCUGCUCACAGAGAGGCAUGAGUUGCGGGCAAACCUACUGGAAACCAUGAAGUGUCUUCAGCAAGUGAAAGGGGCCUUCGAUCCCCUGAAUGCUCACAAGUCGACAAAUCUACUGUCUACAAACGUCAUCGACCUGGCUCGAAUGUCCCAACAGUUGUCGGAGGCAAUCCGGUACCGCCUCCUACCCGGCAAACUCAACAUCCAGACCAUCAUCAACAUCGAGGACCAACUGGACAACUCCAUGACCCACGCGGAGAGCUUCGCCAACCAGCUGGUUGCAAGACAAACUAAGCUGGAUCCUGUACAUAAGUCUGUAUCAGGGAAUCUGUUUGGCCCCGGGUCACGUGUCGAGAGGUUCCACCCUGAUGCUCGCUACGACAACUUGACUGUCAACUGUUGUGCCCACUGCAAGGGGGAAAUCAGCGUGCUGUGAACAGAGAUGAAGAAACAGAGAGGGGAAACAGAGAAGAGGAAAAGGAGAGAAGACUAACAAACGUGUCAUAAACACAUAAAAAGAGAAGAAACGUCACAACAUCGUCACAGAUUUUUAUUUUAAAUCAAAUAAUGCUGAACUUUAGAUACAAAUAUCCCUAUCAUUGGUAUGAGUCCACGUGAUAUCCCCAAUGAUAAAAUGUUGUGUUUUAUUUUUUACCGGUAAUGGGAUAUGAAACAGAUCGGUAGUACCUACAUACCCAAUGUUUUUAUAUAUAUUUGUGGUUAACUAUGGUAACUGAUGCUUUAUGAACCAGUGCAAUUUGGAUUUCAGCUUUGAUGUAUAUUAUACAUUGAAAUUGUGUUAACCGUAACUCUGUGUAAAUCAGUAUUGUGCUGAAGACAGAGGUGAGCGUAUUGUUUGUUGGCUGACAAGAAGAUUGCUUGCUUUGCAUCCUGCCCCGGUGACAUAGGCUGGUGCUCACAAUAUCAUACAGCUGGAAUAUUUGUGGGUGCCAAGUAAACACUUUUCAAUACUUUGGUCAGAACCCCAUUUGUUUCAAAUCUGUGAAUAACCUAUCAUGUACUCCAAGGUGCCCCAUGCGUAAUGUAUGAUGGUGUGUUCAGACAGAACCUUCUGUUUGUCAUGCAGGACAUACAUACAAGGCAAACAAUCGGUGAAGACUUUGCUGAUGAGGUAACUGCAGGGGUGGAAGUAACUUUAAAAUUGCUAGUGUACUCUGGUACAGUGGCACACGUAAACUCACUUGCCCUGAUAAUGUUUCCACUGUACCUGUAAAAUAUAUUGAUACAACAUGACGAUGACCAUUACUGUAUGGACAGUGUGUAGUAACACACAGUAUAACAGUUUAAACAACAAUAAUAAACUACCUAUUAAAUUCAAUAUCUAAGAACUAAGAAAGGUAAACUGUGAAAUAUUUUAUCACCAAAACGAAAGAGAACUGGCCGAUAAACAAAAGAAAACAUUGAUAUUUUCUUGUUGAUUAUAUAAAUAAUAAUAACAUAAUUAACAUUGGAAUGUCAACUGGACACUGGUACAGCGUGAUAUACAAAUUUGCUUGCCUGACAGAAAAAAACACUGGACUGGGAUGUUGGGCAGUGGGUUAUUUCCACCCCUGUAUCUGGUUUUGGAAACUGUGUGAUGAGAAGAUAAUCAUGAGAACUCCGCAGUUUAACUCCUUGAACCUUUUCCAAUGUUCCUCAAGUCAGCGUGUUUACAUGUAGGGGAGGUAACUCCUCCAUGUCUAUGCGACCUCCUGCUAUGGAAGGUGAUUUGUGUUGGUGUAGUCAGUCGGUGAUGAGUGACCACGUGAUAGUUCUCAUCUUUUGUAUGUUGAUAUGUUCUGUACUUCCAGAACUGAGAGAACAGCGAAAAACCUGUGUUUCACUUGCUCACUUUAAUCCAUUUAAAUAGAAAAUAUGAUAUCUGAAAGAAUCUUACUUUUUAUUAUAAUUUGUUGGUAGAUAUUAUGUGGUUAUGAUUAAUCUCAAAUAUAGAACGAAAGUUUUUAUUCUGUUAAUAUAUUACAAAAGUCAUACUGAUUUUGUAUAUUUUAAGAUGUUAAAGUAGGUCUAAAGUCUUUGCAAGUGGGACAACAGCCAGUCGUUUAAGAUGAAUGUUUUUGUUUCAGUGAAUAUUGACAUUGAUCAAAGUACAUUGAUCAUGUUAAAACCCGAUUAACCAUCCCAAACUGGGUUCCACAGGAGAUAUUUGUGUAAAGAAAUGAUCCCACAAUGCCUUGCAGACCAUUUUGGUGUCAUCUUUUUACCAUAAGCAGAGAUGCCAACCCUUACGCCUUGGGCGUAAUUAUGACGAUUUGACCAUUAAAUUACGCCAUUACACUUAAUCUGCGAAAAUUAGGCUUUUCCACUCGUUUUGCAAAAAUCAAUAAAGUGGAUAAAAUUUCACAGGGAAUUUUUUUCGUAACGCACAGGUGAAGGGGUUCAGAAACGGCCUUACACCGAUUGGAAUCGCUUACUCUUAGCAUCGAGCUCAUUCCAAUUGACUUGCAAGGAAUUUAAGUAUUUGUGUCGCCUGACCAACAAUUUUCUAUGUAUGGAAAUUCAUAAUGAUUGGUCACAUGUAUUUCUGUCUAGAAUCUUUCCUAUUCAUGUGAAUGAUCAUUUUAAAAAGUAAUUUUUAUAAAGGUAAUACCUUUCACUAAGUAAGUGUUUUUAGUAUUACACUUUUUAGGUCCAAAUUACACUUUUUCACCUCCAGUAUUACACUUAGGCCCAAAAUAGGGUUGGCAUCUCUGCAUAAUGUCAGGAUCACAUAACAUCAAUAAUCUCUCGCCACCAAAAAAGGGUUAUCUGUGUUUUUACAGUUACUGCUGUAUAGAAGAUUGAGGAAGGUGGAAGAGUUACUGGUAUAUAGAAUCUCAGUUUUGUGUUUUGUUGCAAUGGUAGUUUAAAUUUUGAUUCAUGUUGAUCUGUUUGAUAACAAGAGAUUGAGAUUGUGUAUGUGUACAUGGAAAAUGUGUGUGUACUGAAGGGAACUCAAGAAGUGCCGACUUUAGGAGAUACACCGUCUGUUAGACUGUUAGAGGAGUAUUGCUAAUUUGAUACAACAGCGGCAUAUCAGGGGAUAUGAUACCUUGACACUUCUCUUGGAGUUAUCCCAUUCUUACAUUCACCAACAUAAUGUGUAACAAUGAUGUGUUACCAUGGAAACUUGUUAUUCCAGACAUUUACUGUCCAGGUUUACAGGAUUUCACUAACUAUGACAGCUUGAUAGGCUGUGGAUCUAUGGGAGUAUGUAGCCAAUGUGCUGUACCUCAUGUUGUGAUAUGUACCAUAUUGUCGUGACUCAUGUCUUGUAUAUCAGUGUUACAAUUGUAUAUCAUUAUAUAUCUUGUAUAUCAUUGUAUCAGUGUGUAUAUAUAUAUAUUAUUCUAGUCAAAUUGUCUUCUGAUUGGAUAAUGAUUUUCCUAUCAGUCAGACCUGCAGACUCUGUGCCACAGACAACAAUGAAUUUAUCAUUUAUUUUUCAUAUACAGUGUCAUGGGCAGCAGGAACCUUUUUUAAUUUUUGUUAAACAAACUAGAAGAGGAAUCUUCACCUGAAUUGUGGAUUUUGUGGUUUACAUUCAAGUUAAAGAAUAGAGCCACACAUCCACUUUAAGAAUGCUGCUUCAAGAAAGAAGGAACACAAAUGAUAAAGUCUAGUAAUUAUUUCAUUGUUGCCUUAGGUCUUUUGGUUUGUUGAAAGAGGACUGACAGGAUUGUGAUUUACUGUGGAAUUUUUGUGGGUCCAUGUCUGUGACACACAAGUAACCCUUUCACUGUCAAACAAAUCUUUUAUUGCAAACUGAGACAUAAAGCAACUUUGUCUCUUUUCUCUUUGGGGUGAUCGGUAGUCCAGUGGUUAAAGUGUUCACUCAUUAUGCCGACCUGGGUUUGAUUCCCUGCAUGGUUCAAUGUGUGGAAAACACACUUCUGGUUGACUGUCUCAAGGUGUUGCUGGAGUCUUCAACUGGCAUAAAACAAUACUCACUCUCUGGCUACAGCUGUGGGGCAUGUAUCGGAUCAUAAUCAGCAUUAAGGUAGAUCUGUGUACACGUCAACUCACUAACACAUGUACGCAGGUGCAGAUACAGAUCAUGAUCAGCAUUAAGGUAGAUCUGUGUACACGUCAACUCACUAACACAUGUACGCAGGUGCAGAUAUUGUAUGAAGAGGUGUGACAUGAACUGUAUGCUGUAUAAGGUUGAGGAUAUCUAACAGUGCUAUAUCAUGUGUAUUGUACCGGUAUGUAUUUACACUAGUUGUUAAAGGACAUAGGCAUAAAAUAUUCUAAGCUUUAAUUUUUGCAGCAUCUCAUUUUGUUACGGUAACCAAAUUGUUUUUAUGUAGUUCAGGUGGUUUAGCAGCAGUACAACUCUGUUUAUGUGCAAUAUUUGGUUAUAAUACCAUCCAAGGACUCCUUGAAGAAACUUGUGUUAUGCCUAUGAUGGCAUCAUUAUGGGAGUUCUUACCAUUUUGUGUAAUGGAAUUUUUAUUUGUUUUGUUGAGUUACACAUGAAAAAUCUCAAUACCUUUUUUUCAGUUUUAAAUGUAAUCAUUUAAGGUUCAUGGAAACCAUUUUUAUAUAAUUACAUAUCAUCCAAAACUGGCUUCCGAUGAUGAUGAUGAUGGAAUCUAGCCUAAUUUCUUUUGCUAUUACGUGUGUCUGGUCAAGACUCCAGACCGCCACCAUAUAGCUGGAAUUUUGCUGAGUGUGGCGUAAAACUAAACUCACUCACUCACUGCUAUUAAGUGUAUGAACACCCUUCAGUAAAAGCUUUCUCUUAUGUUGAUAUGUUCAGUAUCAAAAGAUGUAGGGUGAAGUAAACUGUCAGUCAUCUCGCAGAGCUCUGACACACGUCUAACUGUCAGUCAUCACACAGAGCUCUGACACACGUCUGUCAGUCAUCACACAGAGCUCUGACACACGUCUGUCAGUCAUCACACAGAGCUCUGACACACGUCUAACUGUUUAGUUUUUGUGUAAACCAGACAUCUAUUUCAUCGUCAGCCAGCUGUGAGCUGCUGAAGAAGAGAACAUCAGAUUGUUAUGGUAAUGAGGCAGGGAGUCAAGGGGAGGUAAUUGGUAUUGAUGACUCAGUCAAGGGGAGGUAAUUGGUAUUGAUCGUUCAGUGAUGGGAGCAGUCUCUUUAUGGGAAUUAGGGGUGCUUCACAAUCUGCAUGUGCAAAUAACUCUUUUAGUGCUGGGGGAACAGCAAGAACAGCGUAGUGACGGUUAUGAAUGUUAAAUGUGACUUAAUGUACAGAUUUCAUUAAGUCUCUUUAAGUAUCACAAUGAAUUUCAUAGUAUGGGAAUUUCACAUUCCAAACUCGUUUCACUAAUUGGGUAAUGAUCAUCAGGGCUGUGGAGAGUGUAGUGUCACUGUGGUAUCCAUGGAGACUGGUGUAUACAAAUUGUGAAUCUUAUUGAUCCACAGUCAUUCUUUUCAUAGCUUCACCUUGCCCAACUUCUUUGCAAACAAAAUAACCAUAACCUUAUUUGAUUUCAUGGGACUCUGUUAGCUCGAUGGAAACUAUUGGUCUGGGCUUAGUUCUCCUUUUGGUGUCCUUGGUCCAAAUAUGGUUGAUUCAUUCGUAUUCAUUUGGGUCCCCCUUUCUCUAAAAAGACCAUUAAAAUAGUGUACCGUUUGAUAUGGUUAUUUUUCGGGUUGGAGACAGGUUCUGUUCAGGAUUUAUGACAUUGUGUUAUGUGCAAGAAUCCAAUUCUUUAUCAUGAGAAACGGAACUUUCAAAUGGGUGCAGUUGGAUGUUGUGAUACUACACCGGACUUUUUUGUGUUAAAUUUGUUUUAUUGUACUUUCCAAAAUGUGGAAUCUUUUAAUCUACCAGUAACUCUACCCGCCUUGUCAUAUAGCGCAGAGAAAACAGAAUGUUACAAUAAUGAUAGUAAUAAUAAUCGUAAUUAUUGUUUUAAAAACUGGUAAUGUAUGUUGGCAUGUGGUCCUUUGUACAGCCCACAAGUCACAGAGCAGUUUGUCACAGGGACUGGACUAGAUGGGUAUCCAAUGGAUGAUUCUGAGAGUUAUAUAGCCUUUGGUCCAGACACAGACUACAUGUGGUGUCUCCUGGUCACUCCUUCUCUUUGCACAUAUCAGUAAAUGGGUACCCAGUAGGAUUCAAUGGCAGUGUGGCUGUUCACCCUCCAGCUACUCGUGAGACAGCUCGGGUUGUACAUUCCUCAGGGAGCUGAUAAUGAAAAUUCAAGAAAUGAUUCAUUGACUUGGGUAAAAAUAUAGAACUCUGAGCAUGGAUUGGUGUGGAUUUGGUGCAUGGUGAAUGUUAGAGAGGCCUGUUAACUGUGUGGACAUUCAAGUAAAGAUAGAUGUAGAAAGACUCCUUUCUAUAUCUCCCUAUCAGUGGUGCUGAAUUCAAUGGCUUGUGUAAAAUGUGAGCAAAAUGGAGUGUGGUGUCAGAAUAUCAGAAAGAUAUGAAUAUUUCAUAUUGAUGUGAUGAAGUGUAUAUUAAUGAAAAAAUGAUGGUCCGGUUGUAAAGUAUACAUGAAAUGUUGCAUCUUUGUACAAAAGUUUAACUAAAAGUGCAAAUAUAUAUUUUAAUAAAUAUCCUGUUAAUCCA